GAUGAAGAACGUAGCGAAAUGCGAUAAGUAAUGUGAAUUGCAGAAUUCAGUGAAUCAUCGAAUCUUUGAACGCACAUUGCGCCCGCUAGUAUUCUGGCGGGCAUGCCUGUCCGAGCGUCAUUUCAACCCUCAAGCCCCCGGGCUUGGUGUUGGGGAUCGGCGAGCCUCCGCGCCCGCCGUCCCCUAAAUCUAGUGGCGGUCUCGCUGUAGCUUCCUCUGCGUAGUAGCACACCUCGCACUGGGAAACAGCGCGGCCACGCCGUUAAACCCCCCACUUCUGAACGUUUGACCUCGGAUCAGGUAGGAAUACCCGCUGAACUUAAGCAUAUCAAUAAGCGGAGGA
rnacentral:misc_RNA from 1 species